GAAAACGGGUGGAAGACAACGUUACUGAUAUCGACUCCACAACCUAUUUCGUCAGCAAUGAAGGAUUGGUUCCGUUCCUGACACUCCUGGGCCUGUUCAAGGAUUCCGUGCCGCUGACAGAGGAGAGUAUUAACCCGGAGCGGCUGUGGAGAACCUCGAAGUUCGCUAGCUAUGGGAGUAACUUGGCCUUCGUCCUUUCCUCGUGUGGGGAAACCGGCUGGUGGGUGAGCGCUCUCCUCAACGAAGUGAACAUACAGCUGCCGGGCUGUUAUACUCCCUACGGCUGCCCCUGGGACAGAUUUGUCGAGUCGUACGGUUUCCUUCAAAACUGCGACUUUCCGAAUUUGUGUGGAGGAAUAUCCUAUCAUCUUAGGCGGUCACAAAUCUGGCAUGUAUUGUACACAAUGAACAACUGGGAGUAAGCAACAUCGGCUGAUGGGACACGUGAAGAUUUUAAGCAACAUCGGCUGAUGUGACACGAGGAGACUUUUUUGUGCCGAUUUUAAAGAACAUUAUGUGUUAUAGUUAUUUUGAUUAAGGAAAUCAAGUAUAGACUUUGCUCAAAAUGUACGCAAGUGAAAGUAUUUUGAAUGAGGAAACAAUUCUCUAUACAUGGAAUAAA